rnacentral:rRNA from 1 species
AUGAACGCUAGCUACAGGCUUAACACAUGCAAGUCGAGGGGCAGCAUUUUAGUUUGCUUGCAAACUGAAGAUGGCGACCGGCGCACGGGUGAGUAACGCGUAUCCAACCUGCCGAUAACUCCGGAAUAGCCUUUCGAAAGAAAGAUUAAUACCGGAUAGCAUACGAAUAUCGCAUGAUAUUUUUAUUAAAGAAUUUCGGUUAUCGAUGGGGAUGCGUUCCAUUAGUUUGUUGGCGGGGUAACGGCCCACCAAGACUACGAUGGAUAGGGGUUCUGAGAGGAAGGUCCCCCACAUUGGAACUGAGACACGGUCCAAACUCCUACGGGAGGCAGCAGUGAGGAAUAUUGGUCAAUGGGCGAGAGCCUGAACCAGCCAAGUAGCGUGAAGGAUGAAGGCUCUAUGGGUCGUAAACUUCUUUUAUAUGGGAAUAAAGUUUUCCACGUGUGGAAUUUUGUAUGUACCAUAUGAAUAAGGAUCGGCUAACUCCGUGCCAGCAGCCGCGGUAAUACGGAGGAUCCGAGCGUUAUCCGGAUUUAUUGGGUUUAAAGGGAGCGUAGGUGGAUUGUUAAGUCAGUUGUGAAAGUUUGCGGCUCAACCGUAAAAUUGCAGUUGAAACUGGCAGUCUUGAGUACAGUAGAGGUGGGCGGAAUUCGUGGUGUAGCGGUGAAAUGCUUAGAUAUCACGAAGAACUCCGAUUGCGAAGGCAGCUCACUAGACUGUCACUGACACUGAUGCUCGAAAGUGUGGGUAUCAAACAGGAUUAGAUACCCUGGUAGUCCACACAGUAAACGAUGAAUACUCGCUGUUUGCGAUAUACAGUAAGCGGCCAAGCGAAAGCAUUAAGUAUUCCACCUGGGGAGUACGCCGGCAACGGUGAAACUCAAAGGAAUUGACGGGGGCCCGCACAAGCGGAGGAACAUGUGGUUUAAUUCGAUGAUACGCGAGGAACCUUACCCGGGCUUAAAUUGCAACAGAAUAUAUUGGAAACAGUAUAGCCGUAAGGCUGUUGUGAAGGUGCUGCAUGGUUGUCGUCAGCUCGUGCCGUGAGGUGUCGGCUUAAGUGCCAUAACGAGCGCAACCCUUAUCUUUAGUUACUAACAGGUCAUGCUGAGGACUCUAGAGAGACUGCCGUCGUAAGAUGUGAGGAAGGUGGGGAUGACGUCAAAUCAGCACGGCCCUUACGUCCGGGGCUACACACGUGUUACAAUGGGGGGUACAGAAGGCGGCUACCUGGUGACAGGAUGCUAAUCCCAAAAACCUCUCUCAGUUCGGAUCGAAGUCUGCAACCCGACUUCGUGAAGCUGGAUUCGCUAGUAAUCGCGCAUCAGCCAUGGCGCGGUGAAUACGUUCCCGGGCCUUGUACACACCGCCCGUCAAGCCAUGAAAGCCGGGGGUACCUGAAGUACGUAACCGCAAGGAGCGUCCUAGGGUAAAACUGGUAAUUGGGGCU